rnacentral:piRNA from 1 species
UGAACAGGAACUGAACAGCUGGCUCCUGCU